GAUGAAGAACGUAGCAAAAUGCGAUACUUGGUGUGAAUUGCAGAAUCCCGUGAACCAUCGAGUUUUUGAACGCAAGUUGCGCCCGAAGCCUUUUGGCCGAGGGCACGUCUGCCUGGGCGUCACGCAUCGCGUCGCCCCCCACAAAUUCUCGGUCAGGGGAGCUUGUGUUUCGGGGGCGGAUACUGGUCUCCCGUGCUCAUGGCGCGGUUGGCCGAAAUAGGAGUCCCUUCGAUGGACGCACGAACUAGUGGUGGUCGUAAAAACCCUCGUCUUUUGUUUCGUGCCGUUAGUCGCGAGGGAAGCUCUUCAAAAACCCCAGCGCGUCGUCUCUUGACGGCGCUUCGACCGCGACCCCAGGUCAGGCGGGACUACCCGCUGAGUUUAAGCAUAUCAAUAAGCGGAGGA
rnacentral:misc_RNA from 1 species